UACGAAGGGGGCUAGCGUUGCUCGGAAUUACUGGGCGUAAAGGGCGCGUAGGCGGAUAUUUAAGUUAGAGGUGAAAGCCCAGGGCUCAACCCUGGAAUAGCCUUUAAUACUGGAUAUCUUGAGCUCGGGAGAGGUGAGUGGAACUCCGAGUGUAGAGGUGAAAUUCGUAGAUAUUCGGAAGAACACCAGUGGCGAAGGCGACUCACUGGCCCAUAACUGACGCUGAGGCACGAAAGCGUGGGGAGCAAACAGG
rnacentral:rRNA from 1 species